rnacentral:rRNA from 1 species
GAUGAACGCUGGCGGCGUGCCUAAUACAUGCAAGUCGAGCGAACAGACGAGGAGCUUGCUCCUCUGACGUUAGCGGCGGACGGGUGAGUAACACGUGGAUAACCUACCUAUAAGACUGGGAUAACUUCGGGAAACCGGAGCUAAUACCGGAUAAUAUAUUGAACCGCAUGGUUCAAUAGUGAAAGACGGUUUUGCUGUCACUUCUAGAUGGAUCCGCGCCGCAUUAGCUAGUUGGUAAGGUAACGGCUUACCAAGGCAACGAUGCGUAGCCGACCUGAGAGGGUGAACGGCCACACGGGAACUGAGACACGGUGCAGACUCCGAAGGGAGGCAGCAGUAGGGAAUCUUCCGCAAGGGGCGAAAGCCUGACGGAGCAACGCCGCGUGAGUGAUGAAGGUCUUCGGAUCGUAAAACUAUGUUAUUAGGGAAGAACAAAUGUGUAAGUAACUAUGCACGUCUUGACGGUACCUAAUCAGAAAGCCACGGCUAACUACGUG